AUGGUUGGGCUGUCAGAUUCAUGGCCACUGAGUUUUACUUUUAUUGAAACUUUAUUGCAUCAUCCAAAGUAUGCUAUUGGAUAUGAUUAUUCCAUUCAAAUGGAUUACAAGCUUCCUGAGUACAGGACAAACUUACUCAUGACGUUUUUUCAGAAUUCUUUUAUUGUCAAGAAAGUAACAAUAGCCUGGAAGCCUCUCAGCUCAGCCAGCCAGCCAUUCCCCUGCCAUCUUUUUAAUCUCAACUUGCCAGUGUCAAUGGCAUACAUGCCAUCAUAUUCAAUCUCUUUUAUAAGAAAAAUCAAUUCCUUAUUUGCCCUAUCACUCUUGGGAGUGCUGGUGGCAGCAAAACAUGUCACAUUCCAUUUCUCUUGUGGGCUGAGGUCCUUGGAUGCCACCCAUGCCAGCUGGCCUGUUAGCAAAUGUGGCAGAAAGCCUGGAUUAAGGAGGCUCAAUUCUCAUUGAUAGAAACAUGUUCUUCCUCAUCUGUCAGAGCAGGUGGCCAAUCUGGGCAUGCUCCAGACAGAUGAGUGGCUCACCACUUCACUGUCACAUUGAGACUCAGCACUCCCAACUGCUCCUCGUUUAAAACAACAACAACAACAACAAGCAGGUUUAAGUCACAGUUAAGAAUCCUGAUCAUUCACACCAACAAGAAUAAAAGGUAUUUUUCUGUUUUCUGUUCA
rnacentral:lncRNA from 1 species